CUCGCAUUCUCCACUUCUCUGCCUCAUUUUUGCUCUGUCAAUGGCGGCGGCUACUUCCUCCUUCUCUCCAGCCCUCUCUGCUCUACAAUUGUCGUCAGCAUCCAAAACCCACGAGGCUCCGUCCAGCCUAGGGUUUUCUUCUGUGGUGUCGAAGACUCUAAACCCUCUCAUAGCCAAAGCUACACGCGGUGUUAACAAUGUCUCCGGCGGCGGCUCGGCUCUCGGAGCUCGUAUGGUGUCAAUGCCGACUGUUAAGCCCCCGGUGUCUCUCGAUUUCGAGACAUCUGUUUUCAAGAAGGAGAAGAUCAAUCUCGCUGGUCACGACGAGUUUAUUGUGAGAGGAGGGCGAGAUCUGUUCCAUUUGUUGCCCGAUGCUUUCAAGGGUAUUAAACAGAUUGGUGUUAUCGGUUGGGGUUCUCAGGGACCUGCUCAAGCUCAGAAUUUAAGAGAUUCUCUAGCUGAAGCAAAGUCUGAUAUUGUGGUCAAGAUUGGGCUUAGGAAGGGUUCCCGUUCUUUUGCUGAAGCUCGUGCAUCUGGUUUCUCUGAGGAGAAUGGGACAUUGGGUGAUAUAUGGGAAACAGUCUCGGGCAGUGACCUCGUUUUGCUACUAAUUUCUGAUUCUGCACAGGCUGAUAAUUAUGAGAAAGUAUUUUCACACAUGAAGCCCAAUAGUAUACUGGGCCUUUCCCAUGGUUUCCUUUUAGGGCAUUUGCAGUCAGUGGGUCUUGACUUCCCCAAGAACAUCAGUGUAAUUGCUGUAUGUCCAAAGGGGAUGGGUCCAUCUGUAAGGCGACUUUAUGUCCAAGGAAAAGAGAUAAAUGGUGCGGGAAUUAAUUCCAGUUUUGCAGUCCACCAGGAUGUUGAUGGUAGAGCCACAGAUGUGGCCCUUGGCUGGUCGGUUGCCCUUGGUUCUCCUUUUACAUUUGCUACUACGCUAGAGCAGGAAUACAAAAGUGACAUCUUUGGCGAGCGAGGCAUUUUACUUGGUGCUGUUCAUGGAAUUGUGGAGUCCCUGUUUAGAAGAUACACUGAAAAUGGAAUGAGUGAAGAUUUGGCUUAUAAAAACACUGUAGAAUGCGUAACUGGAAUUGUGUCAAGGACCAUCUCAACGAAGGGCAUGCUGGAGAUAUACAACUCUUUGUCUGAAGAUGGCAAAAAGGAAUUUGAGACUGCAUAUAGUGCCUCAUACUAUCCUUGCAUGGACAUCUUGUAUGAAUGCUAUGAAGACGUAGCCAGCGGUAGUGAGAUCCGUAGUGUUGUCUUGGCCGGGCGUCGCUUUUAUGAGAAGGAUGGUCUGCCUGCAUUCCCAAUGGGUAAAAUUGAUCAGACCCGCAUGUGGAAAGUCGGGGAGCGUGUCCGAGCAACACGGCCAGCUGGUGACCUAGGCCCAUUACACCCUUUCACUGCUGGUGUUUUUGUUGCCUUAAUGAUGGCACAGAUCGAAGUCUUGAGGAAGAAGGGUCAUUCAUAUUCAGAGAUCAUUAAUGAAAGCGUUAUUGAGUCUGUGGAUUCUUUGAAUCCUUUUAUGCAUGCUCGGGGAGUUGCCUUCAUGGUUGACAAUUGUUCAACAACAGCUCGGUUGGGAUCUAGGAAAUGGGCUCCAAGAUUUGAUUACAUUCUUACUCAGCAGGCCUUGGUUUCUGUGGAUAAUGGUGCACCCAUCAACCAAGACCUCAUCAGCAACUUCAUGUCAGAUCCAGUACAUGGAGCCAUUAAAGUAUGCGCCGAACUGAGACCUACAGUUGAUAUUUCGGUGCCUGCUGAUGCAGACUUUGUGCGACCAGAGUUGCGUCAAUCUAGCAAUUAGAACUUGAAGAACCUACUGCCCGUGUUGGCCUACAAAAUCCGUUUGGCGAAAUAUUAAGGUCUGGUUAUUGGAUUAUGAUGCAGCUUCAGAGAGGAGAGGGAACAAAAGGCCAGCAAAUUUGGGCAUGGUUCCUUUGAAGGCCUAGCUUAUUAGUCAAGUGGAAGUUGACUGGCUAAAAAUUUGCAUUUCUUAUUAUUGCAAGUGCAUCAUUAAUACCGUUGAGUUAGUAGGCUCAUACACAAGAAGCCUGGGAGUUAUUGAUUUUUUACCUAGAUUGGCCCAGGUCAUGAGUUGUAAUGAAAAUGACAGAAGAAUCUGCCUAAAGCACAAUUGGUUAGAUUCAAUUCAAUUUAAUUUAAAUUGAACUUUAAGAAGCUCGA